ACCAGACUCCGUCCGAACUUCCAUAGCAGAUGGAUAUCGGACGAGCUUCUACGACGGAUGGACUUCGGCAGCUGAAUUUCUACCAUGGCCGAUCACUUUCGGUGUCUGUCGAACCUCCCCAACGCCAUCCGAGGUCCAUCGCCGGUCGACCCUCCGCCAGAUUCUUCAUGAAAUCAGACUUCUCUGAUGGAUAAUCUUCAGACGAGCUUCCACAUCAGGCAAAUCUC
rnacentral:lncRNA from 1 species